UUUGAAUAGCCGCGAAAGGGUUUGCUGUAGGGGUUGCGGGUGUGGGCGCGUACUGUUAGCGGCGAGCGAGCGAGCAACGAAGUUGAAGUGAAAUUGGCAGCGAAAGGACGAGCGUUGCUGUUAAUUUCGGCGGACAAUUUUGCUCAAACAAAAUGACCAGUUUGUAUUGAAUCAACGUCAAAACACGCAUGCUCCCCAAUUUGGUAUAAUAUGGAAUGUUUUCAACCCGUUUCGGCUUUGGUAUAUGCAAUCAAUUCACGGCUAACCCAGUCACAUAGUAUUUUUCCAAUAAGAAAUUCACAUCGGAUUAGAACGCAUGACCAACAAAACCAAUAUGGAAAUCUUCCCAACUCACCAACAUAUAUGGCGGCAUAUGUGUAUAAAUGGCAUACAACCAACCCCAUAUGAAUUGGUCUCAUUGUCCAAUGAGCGCAGAGGGGUGCAGCAGUGACAUCUUUGAAGUUGUUUGUGAACUACAAACUGUUGAUCUUUACAAGAGAUGGCGCUCAAAGUCAAGACAUGUUAAGUAUGUAAUUCUAAUAACGUCAAAUUUCCUUGAAUAUUGCGAUCCAAUUUAUGGGUGUAGUCUGGGCUAACACAUGCGCCCAAAAUUAUGCAAUAAUUUAGUCAACUUCGAAUUAAUCUAAUUAAUACAAAGAAAACUUAAUGUAAAUCCUAAUG